rnacentral:rRNA from 1 species
AUUUCAAGGUAGCAAUAUUUUGAAGUCGGAGCGGCGCAAGGGUGCGUAACACGUGGGUAAUCUGCCAUGAAGUUUGGGAUAACUCGCUGAAAGGCGAGCUAAUACCGGAUGUGACAACUGGAAGGCAUCUUUUGGUUGUCAAAGCUGGGGACCGUAAGGCCUGGCGCUUCUUGAUGAGCCCGCGGCCUAUCAGCUAGUUGGUGAGGUAACGGCUCACCAAGGCUAAGACGGGUAGCAGGUCUGAGAGGACGACCAGCCACACUGGAACUGAGACACGGUCCAGACACCUACGGGUGGCAGCAGUCGAGAAUUUUUCACAAUGGGCGCAAGCCUGAUGGAGCGACGCCGCGUGGGGGAUGAAUGGCUUCGGCCCGUAAACCCCUGUCAUUUGCGAUCAAACCUUAUUAUUUAAAAGAUGAUGAGCUGAUAGUAGCGAAAGAGGAAGGGACGGCUAACUCUGUGCCAGCAGCCGCGGUAAUACAGAGGUCCCAAGCGUUGUUCGGAUUCACUGGGCGUAAAGGGUGCGUAGGUGGUCAGGUAAGUCGGAUGUGAAAUCUCGGAGCUUAACUCCGAAACUGCAUUGGAAACUACCUGGCUCGAGGGAUGGAGGGGGGACUGGAAUUCUCGGUGUAGCAGUGAAAUGCGUAGAUAUCGAGAGGAACACCAGUGGCGAAGGCGAGUCCCUGGACAUCUCCUGACACUGAGGCACGAAAGCUAGGGGAGCAAACAGGAUUAGAUACCCUGGUAGUCCUAGCCGUAAACGGUGCUUGCUUGCUGUAAAAGGAAUCGACCCCUUUUGUGGCGUAG